rnacentral:rRNA from 1 species
GACGAACGCUGGCGGCGUGCUUAACACAUGCAAGUCGAACGGAAAGGCCCUGCUUUUGUGGGGUGCUCGAGUGGCGAACGGGUGAGUAACACGUGAGUAACCUGCCCUUGACUUUGGGAUAACUUCAGGAAACUGGGGCUAAUACCGGAUAGGAGCUCCUGCUGCAUGGUGGGGGUUGGAAAGUUUCGGCGGUUGGGGAUGGACUCGCGGCUUAUCAGCUUGUUGGUGGGGUAGUGGCUUACCAAGGCUUUGACGGGUAGCCGGCCUGAGAGGGUGACCGGCCACAUUGGGACUGAGAUACGGCCCAGACUCAUACGGGAGGCAGCAGUGGGGAAUAUUGCACAAUGGGCGGAAGCCUGAUGCAGCAACGCCGCGUGGGGGAUGACGGCCUGCGGGUUGUAAACCGCUUUCGCCUGUGACGAAGCGUGAGUGACGGUAAUGGGUAAAGAAGCACCGGCUAACUACGUG